GGUUGCGUCCACAUAGCUGCUUGGUUAGUAUGCCCUGUGACUGUGAGGAUAAGUUUGAAAAGAAAAAGGAUAUGAUUAAACUACUGAACUUAUCUUCUGCUGCUAUGUUCCUUGUCUCAACACCUGUGGUUUAGAAAGUAAGAAAACUAGGCGAGAAGAGGAAAUAAAAUCUGAAGGAGUGAAUUUUAUAUUGAGUUCCUGAUUUUGAUCUGUGAGGAAGGAAAGUUAUGGUCUUGAACAGAUCAAUUAGUUGAAUUCCGUGGGAAAUUGAAGAGUAAUCGAAAGGGGGGUUUCUCUGUGUGUUCUUGAUUGAAGGUUAACGGUGUAUUGGAUUCAAUAGAAGAUCUUCAAAGCUUAAGGUUUGACUAGCGGUUUGAGUGGCAGGUAACCUUGUUGUAAGAGGUGUUGACUCGGGCGAAGAAGAGAUUAGCGUGUGGGUCGAGUGAAGGGUCUCGUUUUUUUUUUUUGUAUAGGGAGGUCACUGCCGAUAUCUUUUUGUGGGCAGUUCUGUGUUUGUUGUCUUGAAGGUGAUGUGUUUAACUUAUCACAAACACACUGUUUCUAAAUGUUUAGUAAAGCUAUAUAUUUAAAUUAUGUUAAAGGGCUCAUGCCCCAUGGAUGUGCGGUCCAAAACGGAAGCCUUUUGGUCUUCCCUUUCACAUGUAUAUAAGGAUAAUAUUCCAUGUAACCCUAUUAUUCUGAUCAAUGAAAAUUCCUCUCUGCCUCUUUA